rnacentral:rRNA from 1 species
AAAGAAAGUAAGCAAGGGCGCAUGGCGGAUGCCUUGGCUCUCGGAGGCGAUGAAGGACGUGAUAAGCUGCGAUAAGCUUCGGGCAGGUGCAAAUAACCUUUGAUCCGAAGAUUUCCGAAUGGGACAACCCGUCAUUCUGAAGGAAUGACAUCUUGCAUAGCAAGAGGCUAACGCAGGGAACUGAAACAUCUUAGUACCUGUAGGAAAAGAAAAUAAUAAUGAUUCCCCUAGUAGUGGCGAGCGAACGGGGAUUAGCCCAAACCAAUGUUGUUACGGCAAUAUUGGGGUUGUAGGACCACGCUCUCGCAAGAAGUUUAGUGAGAAGAACCCUUUGGAAAAUGGGACCAUAGACGGUGAUAGUCCGGUAUUCGAAGCUAAAUGAAGCGUAGUGGUAUCCUGAGUAGCGCGGGACACGAGGAAUCUUGCGUGAAUCUGCCGGGACCAUCCGGUAAGGCUAAAUACUCCCGAGAGACCGAUAGCGAACCAGUACUGUGAAGGAAAGGUGAAAAGCACUUCGAAUAGAAGAGUGAAAUAGUCCCUGAAACCGUGCGCCUACAAGCGGUCGGAGCUGCUUCAGCAGUGACGGCGUGCCUUUUGCAUAAUGAACCUACGAGUUACUUUUUCCGGCAAGGUUAAGGAUCUUGAGAUCCGCAGCCGAAGCGAAAGCGAGUCUUAAUAGGGCGAUUAGUCGGAAGGAGUAGACGCGAAACCAAGUGAUCUACCCUUGGUCAGGUUGAAGGUUAGGUAACACUAACUGGAGGACCGAACCGAUAAGCGUUGAAAAGCUUCCGGAUGAACUGAGGGUGGGGGUGAAAGGCUAAUCAAACUUGGAGAUAGCUCGUACUCCCCGAAAUGCAUUUAGGUGCAGCCUUGGGAAUUACUACUGUGAGGUAGAGCGACUGAUAAGAUGCGAGGGCUUCACCGCCUAUCAAGUCUUGAUAAACUCCGAAUGCGCAGUAGUUCGAUCCCAGGAGUGAGGGCAUGGGUGCUAAGGUCCAUGUCCUAAAGGAGAAGAAUCCAGACCAUCAGCUAAGGUCCCGAAAUAAUUGCUAAGUUGAACUAACGAAGUCAGAUUGCUAAGACAGCUAGGAUGUUGGCUUGGAAGCAGCCAUUCAUUUAAAGAGUGCGUAACAGCUCACUAGUCGAGGAGUUUGGCGUGGAUAAUAAUCGGGCAUUAAGCAAUUUACCGAAGCUAUGGGAUGUUAACUAAACACUAACAUCGGUAGGGGAGCAUUCCACUCUGCGUCGAAGGUGAAGCGUGAGCUUUGCUGGAGCGUGUGGAAAAGCAAAUGUAGGUAUAAGUAACGAUAAAGGGGGUGAGAAACCCCCUCGCCGAAAGACUAAGGUUUCCUGAUCAACGCUAAUCGGAUCAGGGUUAGUCGGGUCCUAAGGCUCAGCCGAACGGUGAGGCCGAUGGCAGAACAGGUUAAUAUUCCUGUACUACCUUAAGGAGUGACGUGGAGACGGAGGAGUGACAACGCCGCGGACUGACGGAAUAGUCCGUUGAAGGGUGUAGAUGUUGAUUAUCCCAGGCAAAUCCGGGAUAAGAGUCGAACCUGAUAGUAUACCAAAUUCUUCGGAAUAAGGUAAUAGUGCGUGUAAGCAUACUCCCAAGAAAAUCCGCUAAACUUAAUCUUUAAGGUACCCGUACCGCAAACGGACACACGUAGUCGGGUUGAAUAUACUAAGGCGCUUGAGUGAUUCACGGUUAAGGAACUAGGCAAAUUGACCCUGUAACUUCGGGAUAAAGGGUCCCAACGAGAGUUGGGCGCAGAGAAUAGGUCCAGGCAACUGUUUAACAAAAACACAGGGCUGUGCUAAAUUGAAAGAUUACGUAUACAGCCUGACACCUGCCCGGUGCUGGAAGGUUAAGAGGAGAUGUCAUCGCAAGAGAAGCAUUGAAUUGAAGCCCCAGUAAACGGCGGCCGUAACUAUAACGGUCCUAAGGUAGCGAAAUUCCUUGUCGGGUAAGUUCCGACCUGCACGAAUGGUGUAAUGAUCUGGACACUGUCUCAACCGUGAGCUCAGUGAAAUUGUAGUAUCGGUGAAGAUGCCGAUUACCCGCGAUGGGACGAAAAGACCCCGUGAACCUUUACUAUAGCUUAACAUUGAAUUUGGGUAAUUGAUGUGUAGGAUAGGCCGGAGACUUUGAAGCAGGUACGCCAGUAUUUGUGGAGUCGCUGUUGAAAUACGGCCCUUUGAUUAUUUGAGUUCUAACUCGUAGAUACGAGGACACUGUUUGGUGGGUAGUUUGACUGGGGUGGUCGCCUCCAAAAGUGUAACGGAGGCUUCUAAAGGUGCCCUCAGGACGAUUGGUAACCGUCCGUAGAGUGUAAUGGCAUAAGGGCGCUUGACUGGGAGACAGACAAGUCGAUCAGGUAGGAAACUAGAGCAUAGUGAUCCGGUGUUUCCGUAUGGAAGGGACAUCGCUCAAAGGAUAAAAGGUACUCCGGGGAUAACAGGCUGAUCCCUCCCAAGAGCUCAUAUCGACGGAGGGGUUUGGCACCUCGAUGUCGGCUCGUCACAUCCUGGGGCUGGAGAAGGUCCCAAGGGUUGGGCUGUUCGCCCAUUAAAGUGGCACGCGAGCUGGGUUCAGAACGUCGUGAGACAGUUCGGUCUCUAUCUAUCGUGGGCGUAUGAAAUUUGCGUGGCUCUGACACUAGUACGAGAGGACCGUGUUGGACUGACCGCUGGUUUACCAGUUGUGCCGCCAGGUGCAUUGCUGGGUAUCUAAGUCGGGAUUGGAUAAGUGCUGAAAGCAUCUAAGUACGAAGCCAGCCACAAGAUUAGAUUUCUUAGGGUCGUCAAAGACGAUGACGUUGAUAGGAUGCAGGUGUAAAGGUGGUAACAUCAAAGCCGAGCAUUACUAAUUGCCCGUUCACUUUCUUU